rnacentral:snRNA from 1 species
AAAUUUACGGUGCAUUUUCUUGUAAGUUACAGUGUAAUUUAUGAAACUUACAUUGUAACUUUUGUAAGUUACAGUGUAAUUUUUGAAUCUUUUGGUCUUUUUCUUGAAAAUAUGGUAAUUUAGUGUCCAUUAUGAUAUUUCUUAGUUACUUUUUGCCUUUUACUGUGUCUAUCAUAU